rnacentral:RNase_P_RNA from 2 species
GCAGCAGGCUAGGAGAUCGCCACGUACAAUUUCAUGUACGUGGAGGAAAGUCCGAACACCCUCCCGAACCAAAUUAUGGCGAGGGAUAAACUAUUCCGGGUAACACCCGGCAGGAGCGAUCCUCGGGGUGCGAACAGUGACGAUGUCCGCCAAUGGGGCGGAAGUGAAACGGCUAAAUCCCUAUAGGGCGCAAGAGUAAACCCAGGAAUCUGCAUGUAUGUGGAGUCUUGGUGAAAAGUAACUCGCUUGAGCCCGCCCAGUAAUGGGCGGGACAGAUAGAUGAUCUCCCACGACAGAAUUCGGCUUAUCGGCUUGCUGCGGCA